rnacentral:rRNA from 1 species
GGCCAGACUCCUACGGGAGGCAGCAGUGGGGAAUAUUGCACAAUGGGGGAAACCCUGAUGCAGCGACGCCGCGUGAGUGAAGAAGUAUUUCGGUAUGUAAAGCUCUAUCAGCAGGAAAGAAAAUGACGGUACCUGACUAAGAAGCCCCGGCUAACUACGUGCCAGCAGCCGCGGUAAUACGUAGGGGGCAAGCGUUAUCCGGAUUUACUGGGUGUAAAGGGAGCGUAGACGGUGAAGCAAGUCUGAAGUGAAAGGCGGGGGCUCAACCCCCGGACUGCUUUGGAAACUGUUUGACUGGAGUGCAGGAGAGGUAAGUGGAAUUCCUAGUGUAGCGGUGAAAUGCGUAGAUAUUAGGAGGAACACCAGUGGCGAAGGCGGCUUACUGGACCGUAACUGACGUUGAGGCUCGAAAGCGUGGGGAGCAAACAGGAUUAGAUACCCUCGUAA